GCUGUGAUGAAGUUCUUAGAACUAUAUUAGUAUACGAUAAAGAGAAAAUUUAUCAUAUAGUUCUUAAACAUAUUCGUGAUCAAAUGAUGCAUCAUUACAAGACGAUGAUGUUUAUCGAGUAGAGAUCGUUGUGUGCCAUAUGGGUUAGUUAUCCUCUUAAUCAAAGAGUAUGGUGACACUGAUAUGAUAUAUAGAUGAGAUGUAAGAG
rnacentral:lncRNA from 1 species